UACGGAAGGGGCAAGCGUUGUUCGGAAUCAUUGGGCGUAAAGGGCGCGUAGGUGGUUCUGUAUGUCUACCGUGAAAGCGUACGGCUCAACUGUAUUUUGUCGGUAGAAACUGCAGGACUUGAGGCUGGGAGGGGCUGGUGGAAUUCCCUGUGUAGCGGUGAAAUGCGUAGAGAUGGGGGAGAACACUCGUGGCGAAGGCGGCCAGCUAGACCAGUUCUGACACUGAGGCGCGACAGCGUGGGGAGCAAACAGG
rnacentral:rRNA from 1 species